rnacentral:rRNA from 1 species
GAUGAACGCUGGCGGCGUGCCUAAUACAUGCAAGUCGAGCGAACAGACGAGGAGCUUGCUCCUCUGACGUUAGCGGCGGACGGGUGAGUAACACGUGGAUAACCUACCUAUAAGACUGGGAUAACUUCGGGAAACCGGAGCUAAUACCGGAUAACAUGUUGAACCGCAUGGUUCAACAGUGAAAGACGGUCUUGCUGUCACUUAUAGAUGGAUCCGCGCCGCAUUAGCUAGUUGGUAAGGUAACGGCUUACCAAGGCAACGAUGCGUAGCCGACCUGAGAGGGUGAUCGGCCACACUGGAACUGAGACACGGUCCAGACUCCUACGGGAGGCAGCGGUAGGGAAUCUUCCGCAAUGGGCGAAAGCCUGACGGAGCAACGCCGCGUGAGUGAAGAAGGUCUUCGGAUCGUAAAACUCUGUUAUUAGGGAAGAACAAAUGUGUAAGUAACUAUGCACGUCUUGACGGUACCUAAUCAGAAAGCCACGGCUAACUACGUG